UCUAUGAAUAAUCCCUUGUGUAUUUCUGUUUUCAGCUUCUUUCCUAUUUUCUCUCACCCACCCACAGGAAUAUCUCUUCUACCAUUCUGUGAGAUCUCCUUCAAAGAUCCAUUUUUCAGAACAAAAUGGGAUUUUUGAGGAUGAUUUCAUAAAACAGAUUUGGUACAGUAGAAUUAAUAACCUUAUCUAAGUCCUGCAUCUCUAUGCCGGAAUUGGU